CUGAAGGAGAUUUGCUUCUCAACCAUGCUUUCUUUGUGGAAUCUGGAGAUCUGGAGACAUUGUUACCCUACACCACUAAAGAACUUAUAGAAGCUAAACCUGGAUCAUUCGUUGGAGCUCUUACCAUGGAUGCUGGAGCUCUUGAAUGUAUUGAAGAUAAACCUUGUUAGCGUUGAUUUUUGGAAGGAAAGUAGGAAAGCAUCAUCCAUCGUGCGGUCGAGAUUCAAUCGCCCUUAUAAUAUAAUAAUCAUUAAUCACUAAUCAAUAUGAUUAAUUAUAAUUACUACUAAUAUCCGGCUUGAUCAUUUAUUUCAUUGUUUGCUGUUGCUUAUUGGUUG
rnacentral:lncRNA from 1 species